rnacentral:antisense_RNA from 1 species
CUUCACCGAGCCGAGCAGCAGCGGCCGGUCCGCGGGCCGGUCCUGUCCGUAGGUUGCGAGCAGGGCCUGCGCCUC